rnacentral:tRNA from 1 species
GGGCUGGUAGCUCAGUUAGGCAGAGCGUCUGGCUUUUAACCAGACGGUCGAGGGUUCGAAUCCCUCCCAGCCCG